GCCAGAACCCCUUUAUUGCUAAGAGCAGUUGAGAACAGCAACAUAGUUGACCGCCUCAUUUUUUGACACAGCUCCACCUUUAGUUGGAAUAUCAACAUAACAGUUAAGCAACCUAUUUUACAUCUCCAAUUUACUUUCAGCCAUUAUGCUACUAUACUGCUGCACACCACCCCAGUCGCUGAGUGGUUCGAGAUUCCAGGGCUUCCAGUUGCUUACCCAGGGUUUGUGUUUCAUUCAGAAUGAGGAAAAGGAGACUGUGGAGUCUUUAUGAUAUAUGGCUUAUUUACAUAUAUACACAACCUGAGCCUAUGAUGGACUGGUUCACAGCAUUCACGCCACUGAAGGGUCUUGCUUCUGCCAUAGUCGCAGCCUUUGAUUCACGAGGAAAUCAGGCAUGGCUCUCUCUCUCUCUCUCUCUCUCUCUCUCUCUCUCUCUGGCUUCCCAGCCUGCUGCCUUGCCUCCAGCUUCUAGCUUACACACACACACACACACACACACACACACACACACCUGUCCACUGUGGCCUUUGUCUUUCUAACUACCAGGAAUACUAGCAAUUUGAGGGAAGGGGGCCCACCCAUUUGUUGUCUGCCACAGAUCCACUUCCUUUGUUACCUUAAUGACCCAUACUGAGGGUAUUGUUUCACCAGGAAGCUAGCCUGGCUAGUCCAAGAAUGUGAAUCCUUGCUUAGAUUUCAACACUUGCUGGAUCCAGCAAUUGGAAGGGUGUCAGCAUACAGUCUAUCCUGCCUCCCACCGACUCAUAACAAUCCAUUGUAAGGGUAACUUUCUAGGAACCAUUACCAGCAGUCCUUUUUGAUGGGAAACAGCUGCCUUUUCCGCUGUCAACUGCCUAGUAAGUAAUAAUUAGAAUCUAAAGGUGUUUAGGAAACUAUUAGUAUUGGGGAAAUAGCUAGUGAAGGAAGAUAAAUAAUAUUACAGUGAAAUGUCUGCUCUGCUGGGGAGCAAGGCAUAGCGCUUCCCAGACACAUUAGGGUGAUUGCUGCCUUUUGAUACCUUAUUUGCAUGGCAUCCCCAAGUCACACUGUGCCAUGUCACCUUUAGAUGUGCUCUGGUAUAUAUUCCUACUUGAAUUUAGUCCCCACCCCCUCUCUCAAUUUAUACUGUUUUUAGGAAAGCUGAUCACACCAGCACAAGCCAAUUCUUAUUCUACCCAAAGCAGCAACUCAGUCCAAAUCAUGGCAAUUUCAGCAACAUAUCAUCGAUUUUAGCAUGUCAAACUUUGGUGAGUUUUAGCAAAAGGAUCCUAAUUUUGACAGAAUGUACUAUGCACACAGAGGAGAAUACCCUAAACAAGUGUCUUUCACUAGCUAAUAAAAUAUAGUGAGGCCAGUAAAACAAUACCCUUAAUUCAGUGCAAGAAUGAAUUUGCAAAAGUUCAGCAGUAUGUUCUAUGCAAACAGAACUCUAAGUCCCAAGCAAUGACUUAUGCCACAUCUGCCUUGGUAGUUGGUAACAAUCUCUUGUUUCACCAUCUCUUUUUAUGGACCAUGUACUUCAAUCCUCCCCAGGGAUUCCCCUCCAGGGACGCCUGCCUGAUACUGACAUUAAACUUUUUGGCACAAGUCAAAUACGUUUUUAAUACUCCCAGGCUUUUAAAUGUAUUUUGAAACAUAUUAUUUAUUACAUUUUAAUUAAAUACUUUAUCUUAUUUUUGUAUACUACCCUGGAAGCUCUGCUGAAAUGAAAUAUUAUUUACUUUCAAAUGAAACAAAUACUUAAGCAGAUGUUCAUUGCCUUUCAGGCUUUGAUCUGCUGAUGAACACAGAUAUAUAUCUAUAUCUAUAUAUAUAGCGCCAAGCUGUUUAGCUGCAAAAUAGCUUUUGCAUCCUAUUAGAGCCAAAUACAUGUAACUUAACCCCUUUUUCUUAUGGAGGGGUUCCUAACUGCUGCCACCUCUUUGCCUCACAUAUUAGCAUACGGAGCUGCUGGAUCUGUGUCCUGCAACCAUGCAUGGUGAACCAUCUGGUGAACCACUGAACUGCAGCCUUCUCCUUUAAGCCCGAGAAUUGACUUCACACCUCCUGGCUGAGAAUAAAGACUCCCUGUUCCAGCUGAGUCUUCCAUGAACAACAUGGACUCCCUGAGCUCUGGCAGCCUGGGUUAUUGGAUCCUGAUUUGCUCCAACCUUGCCUUUGGAUUCCUCCUCAAUCCUAUUGGCAUCUGGAUAUCGGCUUACACCAGAUUGCUGCCCCUGGCCCAGACUGUAGAUAGGUUAAAGUUUUCCAGCUAUCCGGGCUGUUAGUUGGACAUUGCUUUGGUUCUGAUGCAGAAAACUGAAUGUUCAUGGUUUGUCUAUUUUGUUCAUGCAGUGGCUUUGAAUCUUUUUGCAUGCCAACACACACACACAAAUGUAUUAUGUAUGUGAAUGCAUACACACAGAAAGUUUGGCCCAUCUACUAUAUAUUUUGGAAAGUUGUUUGCUAUGCAUUUGAACACCUCUUCAGAGGCU
rnacentral:lncRNA from 1 species